rnacentral:lncRNA from 1 species
AAAAGCCGAGGAGCAUGAGACUCGACUGAAGAGACAAUAUGGUUAAGUAGUCGGACCAUGAGUGUUGAAAAUAUAUAUGAUCCAUGACCCAGUCAACUGAAUGGUAUUAUUAUGGGGUUUUUUUUGUUUUUUGUAGAAUGGUAUUAUGGUUAGCUUUAAAAAAUGUUGAAAAGAUAAAAGACAAUUACUUUGUAAUUAGUUUUUUUUUUUUUUUUUAACCUUACUUUGUAAGUUUUUUUGUCACGUAAAUCUACUCUUAAAUGGAACAAGUUAAAUUCAUAAACAAAAUAUUUAAUAACUUGUUUGUACUAUCAAACUAUGUAUAAAAAAAACAUAACCUUAAUGCAAAGUGGAAACAAAUCAGAUCGUAGAGGAACAUGAGCACAGGCUGUGUGGACUGGAACCCACUUGCCAUGUGUUUAGAUGCCUCACCACCGUAGAAGCAUCGCCACGCGUACGUGCCCUUUUGGCUGUUCC